ACCUUGGCCAAAGCCGGCCAGGCCAUGAUGUCGGCCACCCAAGCGCUCACCUUGGGGCGGGCGUCGAACAGCUUCUUCACAGGUGUCCCCAUCAGGCUGGUCAGGGCCGGGAGGUGGUGGAGGUCGGCCAGGGUGAAGCAGUCGCAGCCUAGGUACUUGGACUGGCUCAGGCGGACCUCGUAGAUGUCGAGGACCUUGGCGAGCUUGGCCUCGUUCUCCUCGACUACUGCAGCAUCCGUGGCCAUGCCAAUUUUCGACUUGUACACGAGCUCCCGAUGCAGCUUCGACGCCGCCGGGUCAAACUGGUGGGCCUCGACUUCCAUCCACACGCUCACGGUUGCCAUGGGUUCGCCCUCGCAAACGAGGGGAGUGCCCUUGUCCUCGUAUACGUGAGCAAUGUAUUGAGUAAUUGCCCUCGAUUCUGCCACCACAAAGAGCAUAAUCAAGACAAACUAUAUUUCGCCUAGUUGUUUAUUGUUCUGUUGACUGAGUGAACAGUCAAAGAUUGACUAAACACUUGAUCUUUCAUCAUGAUUGCACGAUCUAUCGGCAAUCGAAUCAGCGCCCUUUGACUAAAUACUUUAAUCUUUAAUGAUGGUCACACAAUAUAAUACAUCAGUAAUAGAAAGACUUACCGAAUAGCUUCAAAUCUCCGUCCUCGAAGACCGGGACUUGACCGAAAGGCUGCACAGAGAGAUCGAGAAACGUUAGAUCCAAGAGACGACGGAGGAUUUCUUGAAAGACCACGUCGAGACCCCAGGACCAGAAAAUAGUUAGGAAUACUGUGGCACGGGCGGUGGGCGGGGACGGACACUUACGUUGAGGGCGAGGAAAUGCUCCUUCUUGUGCUCGCCGGCUCGCAAGUUGACGAAGACGAACUCGAACUCGAGGUCCUUCUCGUGGAGGGCAAUGAGGAGCCGCAUCGUCGGGGCGGAGAAGACGCUUCCGUGGACCUUCGUAGCCAUGUUCCUGUCCGUCGGCGAGAUUCUUAUCUCCCAUUCUUGGAAAGGAGAUACUAUUGUUGUAUUAUUCUUAUUUCCUUUUUCUGCUAAAUUCCACUAGAGGUGAGCAUUGGAUCGACCCUGGAUCGGCCCAACCCUAUUGGUCCUAAUCCGGUUCCUAGGGAGACUGGGUUAGUUUUUAGUCCUAGAAUUUCUAGACCAGUACUGUGCGGGUCAGUUCUCGAUCAGUCCAACCCGGAUCAACCCUGACUCUCUAUAUAUAUAUAUAAUAUUAUUUAUAAUUUUUUUAUAUAGAGAAAACCCUAAAAUAAAUAGUGUCAACAGCAUUAAAUGGCUAUUUAGUAAUGAGUUCAAGUAAUUUUACAUUAUUCUUUAAUAACUUGAAAAUCAUAAUUUAUGAAGGAGGAAAAUGUUUUUGUGAGAAGUCCUCACGGUGUCCAAAAAAGUAUAAACAGCUCCUUAUGGCAUCCCCUAUAGUAUUUGUUCUCUUCUGUCUUAUUUGUUAUCUUAAUCUUCAAUUUGUCAAAAUCGAAAUAAACAACUUCUCCACUCGCCACUCGACACUCACCUUGCUCGCUUUAGGUCAUUCGUGCCACUCGCCGCUUGAUUCUCACUUGGCUUGCUACUCCCCGCUCAACAUUCGAUGCUCAUUCUUUCGACGCUCACCCCACUUAACCCUUAAUGCUUGCCUUUCUUAACUGACCUUACUUAUCAUCGAACUCAUUGGGUUAGUACGGUCAUUGGUUGCCAUUUCAAAGAGUACAAAAAAUAAAAUAAAAAUUAUUAGUUGGUUCUAGGUUGACCUGGAAACCGGACUAAACCCAUUGAGUCAAUCCGGUCUUUAAUGGCUUUUUUAAGAAGUACAAAAAAUGAAAUAAAAAAUUAUCGGUUGGUCUCGGGUUGACCCUGGAAUCAGACCAAACCCAUUGGGUCGGUCCGGUCCUCGGUUCCAAGCUCAAUUAGGUCGGUCAUCGGUCCUAAAAAUUGAGGACUAGCACUGUGCAGGUUGGUCCUAGGGUUAGGGGGUGGAUCGGUCCAACCCGAACCAUGCUCACUCCGAAAUUCCACACCAUCUAUCAUGGCACUACUUUUUUCGUGGUCUGAAAGCUUCUCAGAAAAUGAAAUACAUCGGUGGCAGUUGGGAUUGGACCGCCUAAACUUGAAACUGUGUGGAUUCUACCAGCCGAUUUGGUCCAAUACUAAAGCAAUGAGAAAAAAAAAACAAUCAGUUCCAUUAGACCGGAUCAGAAUUGAACCGAAUCGGUGAUGUGGUCCGAUUUCCGAUUCUAAGACCAAUCGAUCCAAUCCUUAGUUCUUAUUUUUGGGAACAUGACUGUCUCUUGGUCCGAUUUCCAAUUUCACCUUGGAACUGGAUCGGAUUGAGAACCGAUCACCCUUACUUGAAAGGAGACAACAAAUCCCUAUGCAACAGGUAGGCAUAGCAAUAAGUUACUCAUGCGAAACGUGCCUCUACUCAGAAGGAUAAUUUUUUGAAAAGCAAAAAGGCAAUUCUCUCUUUAGAAAGACUUUGAGAAAACAUUAAUUAUGUUUCAAAAAUGAGAAAGAAUGGAAAGAUUUUUCGGGUGGGUCGAAAAUAUAGAAAACUUCUAAUUUUACUUAAGGCAUAAAAAGAGUGUAAAAUUUUUUCCCCUUUUUUUGGAAUUUUCUUCUCUCUUCCAUUGACCAUGAUUGCAAACAUAAGGAAAGGGCUAAAAGUUGAAUUUGAUUUCUUUUUUGUCGAAGAAAAUUUUAUUGAAAUUACGAACAUGGUCUAAAGAGCUCGGAGCAAGGCCAAUCUAAACAAAGGAGGGCCCAAAGGCUUUAAGGAGGAAAAGAAAGCCGGUUUUGUGGAAGUGAGCCAAUCCGUCAUGUCUUCGCAGCUCAGUCGGUUACCGCAUUAGAAGCCCGCGAACAAUGGACUAUGCAAAUGGAUGGAUGGGCCUUGAGUAGCUGUAAAAAAUUCACGAUAAGAAGUCGCUCCUCCCGGUUGAAAUUAUCUGUAAACCCGCUUAUCAAAGCUUCCACGAGAUCGGCAUGGUUGAGCUCAAUUGCAUGGUUUGCGGGACCAUCUUCACUCAAAACUACAAGCUGGAUUGCUUCAAGGACGGCUAGGGCUUCCACCUAAGAAGGUGAUGAUAUCUUCACCAAUUUGGGGAAAGCCGUAAUAAUAAUACAAGCACGAUCUCUGUAGAUACCAGCUAUGACGCCAUCCACCAAUCCAUUGACAAGGGAGCCAUCAACAUUGGAUUUUAGGAUUUUCUCCUCCAAUGAGAGCCUAGGUAUACAACUUAUAAAGGUGGGAUCUUUUAUUGUAUUUGAUGUAUGAAAGAUCCAUUUUAAGUAAUUUGGUCGCUAGAAAUAUGUUGAUUGCAUGGCAUGUCGUGCAUUCGGAAAUUUGCCCUGAAAUACAUUAUAAAAAGAAGACAUUAAUGAACUUCUAUGAAAUGGCUUCAUGGGAUUCAGGCAAUUGUCUUGAUCAUGGGAUAUCAUUGAGACAUAGGAAUCCGUAUUAUUAAAAGAUUUCCUACAAUUAUUUCUAGUAUGGAAUGAAUCAAUCAUCCACUUUGGUAUCUUAGGGUCCGUUUGUUUCGCGGAAAACAAUUUCCGGGAAAAUAUUUUCCAAAAUUACCGAUGUACCGAUGGCGGAAAAUAGGUAGUCAAAGAAAAUGUACCGAUGGAGAUCCUAAUAUUGUGAAAAAUGAUUUCUUCUUUUGAAAAGAGGAAAACAUUUUCCAUAACUUCUUCCACCUUGUUUCUUUUCACCAACACAUUUAUGCUUUCUUUUUCUUUCUUGUUUUUUUUAAUCGAGUUUUUAAUUUUUUUUCCUUUUCUUUUUUUCUUUUCUUCCUUGGUGGCCGUUUCAUCUUCUUCCUUGGUGGUCGGUUGCCAGCCACGGCGGCGGCCGGCAAUCGGCUGCAAGCCAGCUUGAGCCUUGCCCCAGGCUAGCAAGGCUUCGCCUAGCCCAAUCUGGCGAAGGGAGCUCGCCCAAUCCUUGCGAGCUUGGGCCUCGCCAAAUCGGGCGAGGCAGAGCCUUGCCGACUUAGGGUAGAGCUCGAACCUCGCCAGAUCCAGCGAGCUAGGUGAGGCUCGGGCCUCGCCCGAGCUCGCCAGAGGUUUGCCAGGCUCUAGUGAGCCGUGAGCUUGCCGAAUCUGGCAACGAAGCUUGGGCUCAUGAUCCAUAGGAACCCGAGCUCCACUGCCAGAUCGACAAGCUCGAGCGAGAUUGGCCGAGCCUCAAGUUCGUCGGAUCUGGCGACUAGGUGUUGGUCGGCCGCCAGGUAGCCGACCAUCAUCAGGCAUGCGGCAGUGGAGGAAGGUGGAGCCGGGAGGAAGAAAGAGGAGGAAGAAGGAAGGAAAAAAGAAAAAGAAAGAAAUAAUAAAAAUUUCGAUUUUUUAAAAAUAGAAAUAAUUAAAAUUUUAUUUUAAAAAAAUAUAAAAAAAUAAAACUAAUUUUUUAGUCAAUUAAAAAUAUUAAAAUUCAAUUUUUGAUAAUCUUUCCCAAACAAUUAAAUUAGCUAACGAAUGGUGGAAAAUAUUUUCCACUUGAAGUUUUGGUUUCGGCCAAACACCGGAAAAUAGUCAUUUUCCUGGAAAAUGACUUUUAGGAAAAUGUUUUCCGGAAACAUAUUUUCCAUGAAACGAACGGACUCUUAUUGAACAAAAAUGGUGAUAUUGUUCCUUGAUUGAUCAAUAAUUACGAUUUUUGGGAAGUAUCAUGAUCAUAAAAAAAUAAUGGCUUCCAUUUUUACAAAUGAACAAUUUGAAGACCUAUUGAUUCUAACAACUAAUUGCAGAGUUGAUCAUUCGGAUCUUUCAAUUCAUAGACAUGGAUCUCGAACCUAUGAAUGGGGGUAUUCACGAAACUCACAAAGAAAAAAAGGAAGUGAGUUAGACAAAAAAAAAAGAAGAGGAAACUUGGACAAAAUGAAACGAAGUGACUUAGACAAAUCUUUUUUGUUGAGAACCUUAGACCAAUCAAUCAAAUAUUGAUUAAUACUUAAUUGAUCAAAGACUACUUGAAAACGGCUCUUUAGCUUAGAAACAAAAUGUUCCAAAUGUUCUUGGAAAUUCUUGCUCCCAUUGGACCAUUUGUAUUUAUAUGUAUUAGGAUAUCGAUUCACAGAUCUCUCAGUUCAAGAAAUAAAAAUAAGAGGAUUGAACAAUUUCUUCUAACUAUUUUUCAAAUUCGAUAAAUGUAGGUUGAUCUUAUAUUUCAUUAUCGUUUUAUGAUUCAAAGUAUCAUUUCAUAUUUGAUCCCUUUGAAUUCCAUAUCCAAAAUUGCAAUCGGAUUCAUUCAUUAAAAAGAAUCAGUUCCAUACAUUUCUUAUGUACCCAUAGGUGCUAUAUUGGAUUUGAAUUAGAUUUCGGAUCCAUCUAUAUUGAUUAACUGUCUCAUUAUGUUGUUACUAGUAAAUACCAUUAUUUUUUGUUUUGGAUCUUUCAAAUCAUUUUCGCAUGAGAUCCGAACCCAUUUUUUCUAAUCUUUCAAUAAAAAGAUUCAUUUUCUUCAAAAAAGAGAGGAGGUAGAACCAAUAAAGAUUUCUUUUUCAAUUCAUCCCUGGAUUUGAAUACCUCAUUAAAGAAUUAUUUUUGAUCUAAUACGUAAGAAUCCAUAGAUAAGGCAAAUCCUUUAAGAUACAUCAAAUCUAGCUCACUUAUUGAUAGAGUAAAUAGAUCUGCCAUUAUUUGAAAUCUCUCUUCUGAUUCAAAAUCGUGGUGUAAUGUGUAUCAACCUUGUUUCGGUCAUGAAAUAGACGAAAUAAAUCAAAAAAAUGUAUUUUUGUUUAAGAAUGAAAUCUUAUGGAAACUGUGCAUAUCCAGUUCAUCCUUUAGAAUCAUAUCACAUCCCGGAUCUGAUGAAAUAUGAUGAAUUGAGACAAUACUUUGUAAAUACAUAAUUAUCUUAUAUAUAUUAACUAUAUCUUUAUUUUAUGAUCGUUUGGAAAGGACAAAAGAAACAUCUUGUUCUUUCUUCAACAAUUUUUUAUCUCUAGUGGGCCUCUUAGUAGGAUUCCAACCUAGAUGAAGUUUUGACCAUCUGUCAAAGAAAAAAGAAAGAAUGGAUCUUGUAGAAUUCCCAAGAAAUUCUUCGAUUUUUUUCGGAAGCAAAUGAUUCUUCAUCUCUUUCUCACAUUUCGUGAAUAGUUGGGAAUAUCUAGAAAGGCAUUUAGAGAAUCGGUCUGAUUCUAACUCUGUUCGUUUCGUUUGAAGAAAUGAAGGAUCCCAAAGAAUCAAUCUUUCUUUUAGUUGUUGAAUCUCUCUUUGAUUGAUCAAUGUAUGAUAUUCUGAAUCCUUAUUACUAAUGGAAUCGAAAUGAUCUCUGGAUUGAUCAAAAGAUCCUUUUAAUUGGCUAGAAUCCGUUAUUUGAACAAAACUAGAUCUUGUACAAUCAUAUUGAAUAUUUGACGAUACAUUUUGUAACUUGUUAAAAAAUCGGUCCUUGUUUACCAACCACACAUUGUCUAACCAAAUUCAAUUCUCUCUCAAUAUGUUCCUCAAAAAAUCUGAUUCGAGUAUUCUUCCCCUAGCUGACAAAGAGAUCUUGGCGGAAUUGCUACAUAUGAAAUUGAGCACAAUUUUCCAAAAAAAUAGCCCACUUCUUUCUCGAGAAGAGAUGGGAAAUAGGCUUAAUAUCAUUUGAUUGAAUAGUUGACCCAGCUCCUUGUUGUUUGAGGAAACCCUCCACUUCAAUUGGUAUUUUUUUCACGAAAAGCAAACAUGAGAAAACAAAUCUAGUCUUUAACUAAGAUUUCGAAUAGCUAUCACGAAUUCAAAUUAAUUAUGUUUCGUCUCUUACUUGGAGAAAGAUGAUCCAAAAUUCCCAAUCACAGUACUUGCAGAUCGGAUCAUCCAUAUAAUAUACAAAAAGAAACUCCAAAUAUUUAAUAUCUUUUCCUUUGAAUGAUAUCUCAAUUCCAACAAUGGUUUCAUUAGAUAUCUUACAACUAGAAUCAUCUUUUUUCCGCUCCAAUUCCUCCAACACUGCAAACCCAAGUUAAAUCCAGGCAUGAUACAUUUUUUUGUGAUUGGGAGAACUCAAUUACUCUCUUUCGGAUCUAGGAAAAAGCUCUCAGAGAUCUUUUUUUCCUUUUGGAAGAUAAAGGAGCCAAACGAUCAACCUAUUGAUAUUGGAAGAUCCAAAAGAUUCUUCCAAUGUAUCAUUUCUAGGUCUAAUGGAAUUCAUAGGUAUAGGAAAAAGCCCUAUUAAAUAGAGAUUUUUUCUUUCGGCCAUAUUUCAAUUAUUAAUACAGUAUAUAAGGACUACUACUACAAAUAGUACUACACCAUUGAUCGUGAAAUAUCAAGUGCUUGUUGAAUCCUGUGAAUUGCGUGAAAGUAGGAUACUCCAAAUUCGGGGGUCUAGGAGUUUUAUAAAAUGUUCUUGGUGAAAAAAAAUGUGGAUGAAAGAUCCUACGAAAUUGAAUUGGGUGCAUGAAUCUAAGAAAUAGUGAGAAUUAUGGAUCUCUCUCAAUUCGAAAAUCCAGGAUUUGAAUUGACAUCCUUUCAUUGAUUUCUCCUAAAUUGAAUUAAUUUCUCCUAAAGAUUUCAUUUCAAUUGGAAUUUGGUUACUCACCAUGUACGAGGAUCCCUGCUAAGCAUCCAUGGUUGAAUGGUUAAAGCACUCAACUCAUAAUUGGCGAAUUCGUAGGUUAAAUUCCUACUGGAUGCACGCCAAUGGGACACUACAAUAAAUCUAUUGGAAUUGACUCUAUGUCAAUGGAAUCUAAUCAUCCAUACAUAACGAAUUGAUGUGGUAUGUUAAUAUACCUUUAAUGUCAACUUUAAUGAAGAAUCAAGAUCAAGUAGGACAGAAAUAAAGCAUUGGGUCGAACUCUUCUGAAAUGGUAGAAGAAUAGGACCUAUUCUCAGUAGAAGAAUGGGACCUAUACAGGGACAUAUAAAGCAUUACAGACGUAUGAUCAUUACACUUCAACUGGGUUAUUCUAUUCCACCUCUUAAAAAGAAAAGAACUUAAAUCAAAAUGGUUAAUAUUAAUAGCAUAGCAAUAUAUUUAUACAAAACUUCUACCCCCAAGCACCCCAAGCACACGCAAUGGAGCCGUAAACAAUCAAGUGAAAUUCAAUACACAAAAUAAUUUGAUCUAUGGACAGCAUCAUUGUAAUAAAGGUCGUAAUGCCAGAGGAAUCAUUACCACAUGGCAUAGAGCGGGAUUUUCAGAUAGUCUAAUGAGUUGUAGUCGCCGUGGGUAAUUUUACAUUUGAUUUACAAUGCACUACUUAUAAGUAAAAUGAGAAAAAUGGUGCAUUGAAAACUGCAUAAUUUUCUUUAUAUUUUUUUAACAAGUUUUUUUUUUGUAUAUUUUUUUAACAAGUUCAUAAAAGCACUUUUAAACAAAGUCCAAUUUGGAUAGGAGAAUUUUCAUUUGGCCCCACCAUUUUGAUCAUUUGCUUGCAGCCAUGCAAAGAAAGUGACCAGAUUUGGCCCAUAAAUUAUAAACAAGUUGAUAAAGACUUAAGUGGAAAGGACAAAUAGUAACUUCAACUCAAAUAUUUCCCAGCCUGAGAGUUUCUUAGUAGAUCCACUGUUCCAUGUCGUGAGAUCAGCCUUUUGGAUGAGGAAUGAGUAGUGUGCAAAAAUCAAGAAUUCAUUGUGCAAUUGGCACGCGCCUACCCUACCAGAGCAGCCAUGGCCUGGAUCCGGAAGAAACUUGUGGUGGCCAUGAUGGUGAGCUCGACGGAGCUCAAGUGGCCAGCUCAAAGCAGGGACAGUGGGAGGGUGUCUUCUGGUUUCUUAUCAUUUUUAUCGUAUCCUUUUUUUCUUUCUCUAAACUUUUUAUUUUUUUCUUUCUCUAAACUUUUUAUUAUAAAAUCUUUUAAUUCUUUUCCAGACGGGGCGUUAGGUAGAGUCAGCUUUUUUUUUUUUUUUUAGGUAGAGUCAGCUUUUAGUCGGUCAAAUCAUUGAAUUAAUAAAAAUGUUCAUUAUACAAAUUUGAAUAGGAUUCAGUCGUACUAUUCAAAAGUUUUAGGUCAAUUACAUUUGCUUGAUGAAUUUUAGAAUUACUGAUGUAGGUAUCCAUGUGUAAAGGUAAUACUCAUCCAUGGAUAUAGUCCAGUGAACUUCUAUGGUACUUUAACAGAUGAAAGCGGGUGAAGCUUUCGUGACUAGUAGGGAAACUGUAGGCCAUCCUAUGGAGAUGAUGAGAGGAGAGCUUUGUAAUCAGUAAAGAUAAUACCAGCACUUGCAGCAAUCAUUACACUCUAAUGAAACUAGAAAGAUGAGACAUACAAGCCAAUGACUCAUGAAACAUAACUCUGCAUCUGUCCAAUCUUUUUAUUGCUCAUAAUAGAAAAUCACAGAACCGGAAGUUCAGUUCUGUGAAACACCAGCCUGGUCAUCAUCUCCAACUUUGAUGAUUGAAGACAACCCAUAAGAGAAAAUCCCACAUAAAACAUUGACCCAACAAGGACAGAAUCAACAACGAAAUACAGCUAACAACUCAUAUAAAAAGGGGUAGGAAAGGUCUAAUGUUACGGUCCCCCAGCACCAGAUAAUUUAAACUAGACCCCUUUGCAUCACUGCUGGUUCCUCAUGGCAAGAACCUUGGCCAAAGCCGGCCGGGCCAUGAUGUCGGCCACCCAAGCGCUCACCUUGGGGCGGGCGUCGAACAGCUUCUUCACAGGUGAAGCCAUCAGGUUGGUCAGGGCCGGGAGGUGGUGGAGGUCGGCCAGGGUGAAGCAGUCGCAGCCCAAGUACUUGGACUGGCUCAACCGGGCCUCGUAGAUGUCGAGGACCUUGGCGAGCUUGGCCUCGUUCUCCUCGACUACUGCGGCGUCCGUGGCCAUGCCGAACAUCGGCUUAAACAGGAGCUCCCACUGCAGCUUCGACCCCACCGGGUCAAACUGGUGGGCCUCGACCUCCAUCCACACGCCCAAGGUCGCCAUGGGUUUGCCCUCGCACACGAGGGGAGUGCCCUUGUCCUUGUAUACAUUAGCUAUGUAUUGAGUAAUUGCCCUUGAUUCUGCCACCACAAAGAACAAAAUCAAGAUGUAAACCAUGCUUCGCGUAGUUGUUUCUUGUUCAGUUGACGAAUUGAACAGUCAAAGAUUGACUAAACACUUGAUCCUUCAUCAUGGUCGCAUGAUCUAUCAGCAAUCGAAUCAGCACCCUUUGACUAAAUACUUUCAUCUUUCAUGAUGGUCACACAGUAUAAUACACCACGAACAGAAAGACUUACCGAAUAGCUUCAAAUCUCCGUCCUCAAAGGCCGGGACUUGACCGAAAGGCUGCACAGAGAGAUCCAGAAACGUUAGAUCUGAGCGAGACGAAAGAGGGUUUCUUGAAAGAGCACAUUCAGACCCCCCAAGACCGAAAAUCUGCGAGUAUAAAGGUCGAACUGGUGGUGGGCAGGUAAGGAGACUUACGUUGAGGGCGAGGAAGUGCUCCUUCUUGUGCUCGCCGGCCCGCAUGUCGACGGGGACGAACUCGAACUCGAGGCCCUUCUCGUUGAGGGCAAUGAGUACCCGCAUAGCCGCGGUGGAUAAGACGCUUCCGUGGACCUUCAUCACCAUGGUGGCUGGCUCUGCUUUCUUUUCUUUAUCUCUCUCUCUCGAAGGCUAAAUGCAGAACAGAUGUGGCGAAAGAGGGUGGGUUUUGGGCUCUUUUUAUAAGGGUUUCAGGAUCUCGUUCUGGAAUGAUCCAAUUGACUUUUAAAAUUCGAUUUUUCUUUCCCAUUCAACGAGAUAAUUUUGCUUUUUUUAUCUUUGUUGUUUAUACUUAGGAGAUGGAGAUGCAAAAAUGGCUCCUUGUCGGAUGAAGAGAGAGAGAGAGAGAGAGACGGACGCGACGAUUCCUGAGAAGCCAUUUUGAUAUUCAUCUCGCACUUUCUUCUCUUCAUUCGAUGUCUGAACAGAUCAAAAGAAAGGCGCAGACACCUACGUGCGCACGUCAUGCGGCGAGUAGCUCGUGCCAAAAGCGCCUAUCUACCGACCCAAAAAAAAGAAGCGCCUAUCUACCGACAAAAAAGAAAAAAAAAGCGCCUAUCUUGGGAAGGAAGAUACAUUUAGGGGAUAUUUGGUAGCUAUCUAAAUAGUAUCUGAUUCUGAUUUUUUCUUUCUGAAAGUAAUUUUGAAAUGGAAUCUCGUUUGGUAAAAUUUUUGUUCCAGAAAUAAAUUUAUAUUUUUCUUGUUCUCGAAAAUAGAUUUGAAAUAGAAUCAAGAAUAAAAAAAAAAAUUGACUCUUAUUCUAUAAACAAAUCUAAAAAUCAAAAUCAACUUUUCUUCUUCUUCUUUUUUCUUCUUCUUCAUCAACCGACAUCCCGCAAAUACUAUCCGCCGCCGUCCACCAUCGUUCGCUACCGGUCGCCGACAACCGGUCCGGCGAGCACCGAAGGCUCGCCAGGCCAAGACGAGGUCCAGCGAGCUCGCUGAGGCUUAGGCUUGGCCUUACCAGAUUUAGCGAGGUCGAGCCUUGCCCAACUACCGGCGAUGCUCGGCCAACGAGGGCCAACAAAACUUCAAUGAGGUCGCCAGCCACAAGAAGAAGAAGAAGAAGAAGAAGAAGAAGAGAAAAAAUGGGAAAAAAAGUAAAAAUGAAAAAAAAUAAUUGAUUUGGAACAGAAUCAAUAAGCAUGAUACCAAACGCAAUUCUAUUCCAAAAUCAGAAAUUUUAAAUAAUUAUUAAAUGGCUUAAAAUGUUUAGAAAUUGUUCCUAAGAAUAGAAUAAAAAAUAAUCAUUUCUGAUUAGAAUUUGUUCUCGAGAAUAAAAUCAUUACCAAACACACUCCUAAAGGGCGAGGAUGUAACUCCACUCUUCAGAAAAGACUUUGAGAAAACGUGAAUCAUGUUUCAAAAAAUGGAUUACUACAAAUGUAUCAUGCAGUCCCUAAAAUUUAAUUUUGUACAACGUGAUCCGUGAGUUUUUAUUAUAUAAUAUCAUUUCUAAAUUUUUAAUUUAUUUUAUAUAAUCUUUACAUUAUUGAUAAAUAUUUAGUAUAAUCUUUAAAUUAUAUGAAUUUGUUUAAAAAUUUAUUAUCUAAAUUCUAGAUUCGAACAUAUUGAGAAAGUUUGACCAUACGUUGGAUUUUUUAAUAGAAUAUUAGACACGUGUUGGAGUAUCUAAUAUGACUCAAAAACUCUGGAGAAUGUCGACGUUUCCCAUAGCAGAGUUAGCUUUUUUGAUUGGUCAAAUCAAACAAAUUAAUAAAAAAUUUUAUUAUACAUUUUAAAAUAUUAGGGGUCAAUUACACGACAAAAUUUAAAAUUUCCGAUGCAUAUAUCCCUUAGUGUAAAGGCAGUACUCAUCCAUGAAUAAAGUGCAGUGAACUAGGCGAAGCUUUAGGGAAGCCUUAGGCCAUCCCAUGGAGAUGAUGAGAGGAGGGGUUUUCAUCAGUAGAGAUAAUACCAGCACUUGCAGAAAUCAUUACAUUCUAAUGAAACUACAAAGAUGAGGCAUAUAAAACAAUGACCCAUGAAACAUAAUUUUGCAUCUGUCCAAUCUUUUUAUUGCUCAUAAUAGAAAAUCACAGAACUUGCAGUUCGGCGAAACGCCAGCCUGGUCAUCAUCUCCGACUUUGAUGAUUGAAGACGACCCUUCAGAGAAAAUCCCACAUAAAACAUUGACCAAAGGAGGAUAGAAUCGACAGCAAAAUACGAUUACCAACUCAUAUAGAAAGGGGUAGAAAAGGUCUAAUGUUAUCGUCCCCUAGCACCAGAUGAUUUAAGCUAGACCCAUUGCUUCACUGCUGGUUUCUCAUGGUAAGAACCUUGGCCAAAGCCGGCGGGGUCACGAUGUCAGCCACCCAAGCACUCACCUUCGGGCGGGCGUCCAAUAGCUUCUUCACAAGUGUCCCCAUCAGGCUGGUCAAGGCCGAGAGGUGGUGGAGGUCAGCCAGGGUGAAGCAGUCGCAGCUUAAAUACUUGGACUGGCUCAGCCGAGCCUCGUAGAUGUCGAGGACCUUGGCAAGGUUGGCCUCCUUAUCCUAGAUGGGCUAAGUCAAACGGGUUUUUCAUUUGAUGGGUCAAGUUAAGUCUGUUCGCCCACUCAGCCCAUAAAAGGAAAAUACAGUUAUUUUCUAAGUGAAAAUAACUGUAAUAUAUAAAAUAAAAAUUAAAUGUUCAGAGAGAAAACACGUUUCUCCAUUUUCUUCUCUUUGAAACAGUUCACUCUCUCUUGAAGAAGGAGAAUUCUGAGAUUGCAACAAUGUUUUUUUGAACAUGUUUCUGCGUUCGUUUUUUAUAUUCGAUCGUUUGAGUAUCAGUUCGAUUUUCAGAAAUCUAUUUGCCGCAUCCUUGACUACUGCAGCAUCCGUGGCCAUACCAAUUUUCGACUUGUACACGAGCUCCCAAUGCAGCUUCGACGCUGCCGGGUCAAACUGGUGGGCCUCGACUUCCAUCCACGAGAAAAUAUUGGCUUUGCCCUCGCAAACGAGGGAGCGCCCUUGUCCUCGUAUACGUGAGCAAUGUAUUGAGUAAUUGCCCUCGAUUCUGCCACCACGAAGAGCAUAAUCAAGACAUAAACUAUAUUUCGCGUAGUUGUUUCUUGUUCUGUUGACUGAGUGAACAGUCAAAGAUUGACUAAACACUUGAUCUUUCAUCAUGAUUGCACGAUCUAUCGGCAAUCGAAUCAGCGCCCUUUGACUAAAUACUUUCAUCUUUCAUGAUGGUCACACAAUAUAACACAUCAGUAAUAGAAAGACUUACCCAAUAGCUUCAAAUCUCCGUCCUCAAAGGCCGGGACUUGACCGAAAGGCUGCACAGAGAGAUCGAGAAACGUUAGAUCCAAGAGACGAAGGAGGUUUUCUUGAAAGACCACGUCGAGACCCCACGACCAGAAAAUAGUUAGGAAUACUGUGGCACGGGCGGUGGGCGGUGAUGGAGACUUAAGUUGAGGGCGAGGAAAUGCUCCUUCUUGUGCUCGCCGGCUCGCAAGUCGACGAAGACGAACUCGAACUCGAGGUCCUUCUCGUGGAGGGCAAUGAGGACCCGCAUCGUCGGGGCGGAGAAGACGCUUCCGUGGACCUUCAUCACCAUGAUUGCUCGCUCUGCUUUCUUUUCUUUAUCUCUCUCUCAGAACCUGAACGCAGAACAGCUGUGGCGAUCAAUGGUGGGUCUCGGGCUCUUUUUAUAAGGGCUUCAGGAUCUUGUUCUGGAAUGAUGUAAUUGACUUGAACAUUUCGAUUCUGGUAUGCCCUUCAACGAGAUAAUCUUGCCUUGUAUCUUUUAUUGUUUACAGUUAGCAGGUGGAGAUGACAGUAAUGGCUCCUUGUCGGGAUGUGGGGAGAGGGAGAGAGAGACGCAGGCGAUAAGUCCUCCGUAGCCAUGUUCCUGUCCGUCGGCGAGGUUCUUAUCUCCCAUUCUUGGAAAGGAGAUACUAUUGCUGUACCAUUAUUAUUUCCUAUUUCUGCUAAAUUCAACACCAUCUAUCACGGCCCUACUUUUUUCGUCGUCUGAAAGUUUCUCAGAAAAUGAAAUCCAUCGGUGGCAGUUGGGAUUGGACAGCCUGAACCUGAAACUGCGUGGACUCUACCGGCGGAUUUGGUCCAAUUUAUGAGAAUAUCAAUGUGGUUCCGAUUUUGAGGCAGAAUUGAAUUAGACCGACUAAUUAUUUUUUUAUUUAUUCAAAAAAUUAGUGAAAUAUGAACUAAAUACUAAAGCAAUGAGAAAAAAAAAAAACUAUCGAUUCCAUUAGAUCAUACCAGAAUUGGAUCGAAUCGAUGAUGUGGUCCGAUUUCCAAUUGUAGGACUAAUCGAUCCAAUCCUCAGUUCUAAUUUUUGGGAACAUGACCAUCUCCUAGUCAGAUUUCCGAUUUCACCUUGGAAUUGAAUCGGAUCAGAAACUAAUCACCCUUACUCAAAAGGAGACAACAAAUCUCUGUGUAGUAGGUAGCACAUCAAUAAGUCACUUGUGUGAAACGUGCCUCUACUCAGAAGGAGAAUUUUUUGAAAAUCAAAAAGGCAAUCCUCUCUUUAGAAAGACUUUGAGAAAACAUUAAUUAUGUUUAAGAAAUGAGAGAAAAUGGAAUGAAUUUUCAGGUGGGUUGAAAAUAAAGAAAACUUCUAAUUUUACUUAAGGCAUAAAAAGAGUGGAAAGUGUUUCUUGUUUUCCUUUUCUUUUUCUUUUUUUUGUAAUUUUCUUCUCUCUUCCAUUGACCAUGAUUGCAAACAUAAGGAAAGGACUAAAAGUUGAAUUUGUUCUUCUUUUUUUUAUCGAAGAAAAUUUUAUUGAAAUUACGAACAUGGUGUAAAGAGCUCCGAGCAAGGCGAAUCUGAACAAAGGAGGGCCCAAAGGGUUUGAGGAGGAAAAGAAAGCCGGUUUUGUGGAAGUGAGCCAAUCCAUCAUGUCGGUUACUGCAUUAGAAGCCCGCGAAAAAUGGGCUAUGCGAAUGGAUGGAUGGGCCUUGAGUAGCUUUAUAAAAUUCAUGAUAAGAAGUCACUCCUCCCGGUUGAAAUUAUUCGUAAACCCGCUUACCAAAGCUUCCACGAGAUCGGCAUGGUUGAGCUCAACUGCAUAGUUUGCGGAACUAUCUUCACUCAAAACUACAAGCUGGAUUGCUUCAAGGACGGCUAGGGCUUCCGCCUAAGAAGGUGAUGAGAUCUUCACCAAUUUGGGGAAACCCGUAAUAAUAAUACGAGCACGAUCUCUGUAGAUACCAGCUACGGUGCCAUCCACCAAUUCAUCGACAAAGGAGCCAUCAACAUUGGAUUUUAGGAUUUUCUACUCCAAUGGAACCCAAGUCUGCAACUUAUAAACGUGGGAUCUUUUCUUGUAUUUGAUGUAUGAAAGAUCCAUUUUAAGUAAUUUGGUCGCUAGAAAUAUGUUGAUUGCAUGGUAUGUCGUGCGUUCAGAAAUUUGCCCCGAAAUACAUUAUAAAAAGAAAAUAUCAAUGAACUUCUAUGAAAUUGUUUCACGGAUUCAGGCAAUUGUCUUGAUCGUGAAAUAUCAUUGAGAAAAAGGAAUUUGUAUUAUUAAAAGAUUUCCUGCAAUUAUUUCUAGUAUGGAAUGAAUCAAUCAUCCACUUUGGUAUCUUAUUGAACAAAAAUGGUGAUAUUGUUCCUUGAUUGAUCAAUAAUUUCGAUUUUUAGAAAGUAUCAUGAUCAUCCAAAAAUAAUGGCUUCCAUUUUUACAAAUAAACGAUUUGAAGACCUAUUGAUUCUAACAACUGAUUGCAGAGUUGAUCAUUCGGACCUUUCAAUUCAUAGACGUGGAUCUCGAACCUAUGAAUGGGGUUAUUCAUGAAACUCACAAAGAAAAAAGGAAGUGAGUUAGACAAAAGAAGAAGAAGAAGAAGAAAUUUGGACAAAAAAGAUUUCGAAUAGCUAUCAUGAAUUCAAAUUAAUUAUGUUUAGUUUCUUACUCGGAGAAAGACGAUCCAAAAUUCCCAAUCACGGUACUUGCAAAUCGGAUCAUCCAUAUAAUAUACAAAAAGAAACUCCAGAUAUUUGAUAUAUUUUCCUUUGAAUGAGAUCUCAAUUCCAACGAUGGUUUCAUUAGAUAUCUUACAACUAGAAUCCUCUUUUUUCCGAUCAAAUUCCUCCAGCACUGCAAACCCAAGUUAAAUCCAGGCAUGAUACACUUUUUCGUUAUUGGGAGAACUUAAGUACUCUCUUUCGGAUCCAAGAAAAAGCUCUCGAAGAUCUUAAGAUCUUUCCUUUUGGAAGAUAAAGGAGCGAAAUGAUCAACUUAUUGAUAUUGGAAGACCCAAGACCCAAACGAUUCUUCCAAUGUAUCAUUUCUAGGUCCAAUGGAAUUCAUAGGUAUAGGAAAAUGCCCUAUCAAAUAGAGAUUUUUUUUCUUUCGGCCAUAUUUCAAUUAUUAAUAUGAUAUAUAAGGACUACUACUACAAAUAGUACUACACCCUUGAUCGUGAAAUAUCAAUUGCUUGUUGAAUCUUGUGAAUUGCGUGAAAGUAGGAUACUCCAAAUUCGGGGGUCCAGGAGUUUUAUAAAAUGUUCUUGGUGGAAAAAAAUGUGGAUGAAAGAUCCCAUGAAAUUGAAUUGGGUCCAUGAAUCUAAGAAAUAGUGAGAAUUAUGGAUCUCUCAAUUCGAAAAUCCAGGAUUUGAAUUGAUGUCCUUUCAUUGAUUUCUCCUAAAUUGCAUUAAUUUCUCCUAAAGAUUUCAUUUCAAUUGGAAUUUGGUUAUUCACCGUGUAUGAGGAUCCCUGCUAAGCAUCCAUGGUUGAAUGGUUAAAGCGCCCAACUCAUAAUUGGCGAAUUCGUAGGUUCAAUUCCUAUUGGAUGCAUGCCAAUGGGACACUACAAUAAAUCUAUUGGAAUUGACUAUAUAUCAAUGGAAUCUGAUCAUCCAUACAUAACAAAUUGAUGUGGUAUAUUCAUAUCAUAACAUAAGAUAUUGGGGAAGAAAAUUGAUUUAUGGAAGAAAAAUUAUUAGGGAAAAAUCAAUAUACCUUUAAUGCCGAAUCAAGAUCAAGUAGGACAUAAAUAAAGCAUUGGGUCGAACUCUUCUGAAAGGAUAGAAGAAUAGGACCUAUUAUCGUUAGAAGAAUGGGACCUAUUCUUGGGCAUACAAAGCAUUACAGACGUAUGAUCAUUACACUUCAACUAGGUUAUUCUAUUCCCAUCUUAAAAAGAAACGAACUUAAAUCAAAAUGGUUAAUAUUAAUAGCAUAGCAAUAUAUUUAUACAAAACUUCUAUCUUGGGAUAGAAGUUUUGUAUAAAUAUAUCGCUAUGGAGCCGUAGACAUACACGAAAUAAUUUGAUCUAUGGACGGCAUCAUUGUAAUAAAGGUUGUAAUGCUAGAGGAAUCAUUACCGCAUGGCAUAGAGCAGGAUUUUCAAAUACUCCAAUGAGUUGUAGUUGCCAUGGGUAAUUUUAAAUUUGAUUUACAAUGCACUACUUAUAAGUAAAAUGAGAAAAACGGUGCAUUGAAAACUGCAUAAUUCUCUUUAUAUUUUUUUAACAAGUUCAUAAAAGCACUUUUAAACAAAGUCCAAUUUGGAUAGGAGAAUUUUCAUUUGGCCCCACCAUUUUGAUCAUUUGCUUGCAGCCAUGCAAAGAAAGUGACCAGAUUUGGCCCAUAAAUUAUAAACAAGUUAAUAAAGACUUAAGUGGAAAGGACAAAUAGUAACUUCAACCUCAAAUAUUUCCCAGCCUGAGAGUUUCUUAGUAGAUCCACUGUUCCAUGUCGUGAGAUCAGCCUUUUGGAUGAGGAAUGAGUAGUGUGCAAAAAUCAAGAAUUCAUUGUGCAAUUGGCACGCGCCCACCCUACCAGAGCAGCCAUGGCCAGGAUCCGGAAGAAACUUGUUGUGGCCAUGAUGGUGAGCUCGACGGAGCUCAAGUGGCCAGCUCAAAGCAGGGACAGUGGGAGGGUGGCUUCUGGUUUCUUAUCAAUUUUAUUAUAUCCUCUUUCUCUUUCUCUAAACUUUUUAUUAUAAAAUCUUUUAAUUCUUUUCCAGACGUGGCGUUAGGUAGAGUCAGCUUUUAGUUGGUCAAAUCAAAUGAAUUAAUAAAAAUGUUCCUUAUACAAAUUUGAAUAGGAUUCAGUUCGUACUAUUUAAAAGUUUUAGGUCAAUUACAUUUGCUUGAUGAAUUUUAGAAUUUCUGAUGUAGGUACCCCUUUGUGUAAAGGUAAUACUCAUCCAUGAAUAUAGUCCAGUGAACUUCUAUGGUACUUUAACAGUUGAAAGCGGGUGAAGCUUUCGUGACUAGUAGGGAAACCGUAGGCCAUCCUAUGGAGAUGAUGAGAGGAGAGGUUUUCAUCAGUAGAGAUAAUACCACUACCAGCACUUGCAGCAAUCAUUACACUCUAACGAAACUAGAAAGAUGAGACAUACAAGCCAAUGACUCAUGAAACAUAACUCUGCAUCUGUCCAAUCUUUUUAUUGCUCAAAAUAGAAAAUCACAGAACCAGAAGUCCAGUUCUGCGAAACACCAGCCUGGUCAUCAUCUCCAACUUUGAUGAUUGAAGACGACCCUUCAGAGAAAAUCCCACAUAAAACAUUGACCCAAGAAGGACAGAAUCAACAACCAAAUACAGCUAACAACUCAUAUAAAAAGGGGUAGAACAGGUCUAAUGUUACGGUCCCCGGCACCCGAUAAUUUAAACUAGACCCCUUUGCAUCACUGCUGGUUCCUCAUGGCAAGAACCUUGGCCAAAGCCGGCCGGGCCAUGAUGUCGGCCACCCAAGCGCUCACCUUGGGGCAGGCGUCGAACAGCUUCUUCACAGGUGAAGCCAUCAGGUUGGUCAGGGCCGGGAGGUGGUGGAGGUCGGCCAGGGUGAAGCAGUCGCAGCCCAAGUACUUGGACUGGCUCAGCCGGGCCUCGUAGAUGUCGAGGACCUUGGCGAGCUUGGCCUCGUUCUCCUCGACUACGGCGGCGUCCGUGGCCAUGCCGAACAUCGGCUUGAACACGAGCUCCCACUGCAGCUUCGACGCCACGGGGUCAAACUGGUGGGCCUCGACCUCCAUCCACACGCCCACGGUCGCCAUGGGUUUGCCCUCGCACACGAGGGGAGUGCCCUUGUCCUCGUAUACAUGAGCAAUGUAUUGAGUAAUUGCCCUGGAUUCUGCCACCACAAAGAACACAAUCAAGAUGUAAACUAUACUUCGCGUAGUUGUUUCUUGUUCAGUUGACGAAUUGAACACUCAAAGGUUGACUAAACACUUGAUCUUUCAUCAUGGUCGCACGAUCUAUCAACAAUCGAAUCAGCACCCUUUGACUAAAUACUUUCAUCUUUCAUGAUGGUCACACAAUAUAAUACACCACUAACAGAAAGACUUACCGAAUAGCUUCAAAUCUCCAUCCUCAAAGGCCGGGACUUGACCGAAAGGCUGCACAGAGAGAUCCAGAAACGUUAGAUCUGAGAGAGACGAAGGAGGGUUUCUUGAAAGAGCACAUUCAACCCGCCAAGACCGAAAAUCUGCGAGUAUAACGGUCGAACUGGUGGAGGGCAGGAACGGAGACUUACGUUGAGGGCGAGGAAGUGCUCCUUCUUGUGCUCGCCGGCCCGCAUGUCGACGGGGACGAACUCGAACUCGAGGCCCUUCUCGUUGAGGGCAAUAAGGACCCGCAUAGCCGCGGUGGAUAAGACGCUUCCGUGGACCUUCAUCACCAUGGUCGCUGGCUCUGCUUUCUUAUCUUUAUCUCCCUAUCUCGAAGCCUAAAUGUAGAACAGAUGCAGAACAGAUGUGCUUUAUUAUCUUUAUCUCCCUAUCUUGUUUUGGAAUGAUCUAAUUGACUUUUAAAAUUCGAUUUUUCUUUCCCAUUCAACGAGAUAAUUUUGCUUUUUUAUCUUUGUUGUUUAUACUUAGGAGAUGGAGAUGCAAAAAUGGCUCCUCCUUUUCUUUUCUCUCGCGUCCUUCCUUUCUUUUCCCUCUGCACCUUGUCAGAAAAAGGACAAAGUCCUUUGUUGACCUGUUGAAAAAAACGAGAGAGAACUCCCUUUUUUUUAAAUCUAACGUCCGCCCCCUCUUUCGUCCGUUUGCGAGCGGCUUUUAUGGGCGAGGUAUUAAGGCUUUCUAGAAUAUUUUAUUUCCUUUUUCACAUCGGAUUCACAUUUCCUUUCUCAACAUGCAUGAAGAUAUAUUGUCGAAAUAUGUACCCCACAUGCAAUAUUUCUUUUUAUUUUCCACAUCUCUUCUAGCCUUGUUUGAUUUCCUUUAUAUGCACUUCAUAUCUUUCCACAUUAAAUUAUGCAAAAAAAAAAGAAUAUUCUCCAUCGAUUUUUAUUAUAUAUUGCCAAAAAUUCAAGAUUAUAAUAGGAUUUUCUCAAAUUCUAAAUCUUGUCAAGAUGAGCUCGUAAUAUCUCCUUCUCACACUUGCCCUUUUUGAGAAUAUAUGAAUAGAUUACAUGAACAUACAAAAAAUCCUCUAUCAUAUCACUAAAAAUAUCGAAUCGUCAAUUCUUAUAAGUUAAUCUUUGGUCAUCAAAAAAUAAUGGGCUUGGGCCAAUUCCAUUUCAACGCAGGCUUAGUCCAACUUGCUAAAUUUAAGCUCAGAACCAUCAAAUUAAAUCCAUUCGUCACCAACCCAAUGCAAAUGUAAUAAAAAAAAAAAGUUCUCUUAAAACUACAUGUUAUGUAAUUUAAUUAUAAUUUUUUUUUGUUUAUGGGUUAAAAAUUAAUCUCUAAUUUUUAAAAGGGAAAACCUCAAAUAAGGAUUGAAAAUGGCUUCGUUUUCUCAAAAAAGAACCUAAAGUGAAGUUUGUCUCAAAUAAGGACCUAAAGUAGUCAUUUAGUCUCAAAAAAUGACCUAACUCGCCGGCCAAUGAACUAAUGCAUUUCUGAUGCGUAUUCCGGUGACCUAAUCAAGGUAUUUUCAUCCAAAAAAUAUUCUCUUUUCAUUUUCCUUUUCCCCUGUUCAUCUUCUCCAUCUGCGAGCAGACCUCCAAUAUCUCGCCAGUGAAGUAAUUGCCGACGAGAUCAAGCCACUUCAGCUUCUUGAGCCUUGCCACCUCCAGCGACAGCGGCCCCGUGAACUUGUCAUUGCCCAAGUGGAGUUCUUCAAGCUAGGUUAUCGCCUGUAAGACUUUGCUGGGGAAGAUCCCAAAGAGGUUGAGGAAUUGGAGGGAGGUGGGGCUGCCGAGCUUUGGCGGGAGGGUCCUGGUGAGGUUGUCGGUGGUGAGCGUGAGGUUGACGAGGUCACAAAGAAGGCCAAUUUUCGGGUGGGAUGUAGCUCGGGAGGCCGACGGAUGUGAUGUUGAGAGAGACGACCCACGAGCCAGCGUCGCAUGUGACUUCGGUGAAGGAGCAAUGCGGAAAGGGCGGUGGCAAGAAGGAGGAGGAGGAGUUGACCCAGUCGCUGAUGGCGGCGGAGGGAGGCUCGACCAUGGCGGUUUUGGGCUUCAAGAGCAUGUCCAGGUCGCUCUGUGCGAGGGAAGCAGAGAUGAAGAGGAGGAAGAAGAAGACUCCAUUGUAGGGCAGUUUCAUCCUCAGUGAGUUCGACGAGGCCAGCAAGGGCUCGCCGACCUCGCCGACCACUGGUAAGGGUAGGCGAGGGCUUGGCCCUCGCCUGCUGCCAACGCCUGCUACCGGCGAUAGGCGUUGAGCCCUCGCUGGCCUCAGGUGAGGCCAACCCACACCGGUCCCACGACCUUCGCUGGCCCUUCCCUACUUCCGAUGUCCUUGAUUUGGGCAAUGCCUAUCUUCGACGAAGAAGACGAUGAAUAGGGACAACCAUGGGUAGAUCAAGAAGAAGAUGAACAGGAUAAGGAAAACAAAAAGAUAAUAUUUUUUGGACAAAAAUACUCCAGACCAGGUCGUUGGAAUACGCAUUGAAAAUGCAUCAAUUCGCCGGCCGACAAGUCAGGUCCUUUUUUGAGACUAACUUAUGUGGCCAAGAGACCAUUAAAACUAUUUUUAUUACUCUUUUAUUUAUAGAAAAAAAUCUCCUUGUUAGUUUUUGUUGGAAAUAUGAUUUGUUUUUUUUAUUCUAAGUAUCUAAAUGCGGUUAAUUGAUUCUAUGAAUCCAUGAGAUUGGAUAUUAGGACAGUAGUAUAGGAAACAACAUAUUUUGUAUAUUCUUUCCUAUCGUACUCUUUUCUUGUAUUAUUAAUAGGUGUGUAAUACAUGUACAAACACAGCAAUACACAAUACAUAAAAUUCCUCCAAUUCAUUCUCAGUUUUUGUCAAUUUUCUUUCUCAUUUUCUAUCAGUUUCAUCUUCUACUUCAUGUGGGACUAAGGUUCCAAGAGACCCACAAGGCACUUCAAGCCUCCAAGAGUCCCACAUUGACUAAACAUUUAAAGAGCAGAGAUUGUCUAUAAAAUCUAAGCUAUGCAUAACUUUUAGCCAAAUUAUUCACGGCUUUCAUGGUUAAAGUUAAGUGUGAAACACACGAAGUGUGAAUCACAUUUGAAUAUUUUGCACGUGGAAACAUGUGUGAUUAGUUUUGUUGAAUUGCUCGAGAACCGAAUUGGAUUGAUCGGUCUGGAGCGCGGUCACUCUUUAGUGCAAAAAAGUAGAGCCGAUUUUGUUGGACCGGACCGGACCGGACCGGAACCAAUGGUCGGUCCGGUUCCCGGUCCUAGGACCAAACGGUCCGGUCCACGGUUUGCAAUUUUGGGAAUCGGUGCUCCCGGUCCGAUUCCCGGUUCCAAGGUGGAACCGGACCGAACCGGGAACCGAUCACCCCUAGCUGGCCCUUCCCUACUUCCGAUGUCCUUGAUUUGGGCAAUGCCUAUCUUCGACGAAGAAGACGAUGAAUAGGGACAACCAUGGGUAGAUCAAGAAGAAGAUGAACAGGAUAAGGAAAACAAAAAGAUAAUAUUUUUUGGACAAAAAUACCCCAGACCAGGUCGUUGGAAUACGCAUUGAAAAUGCAUCAAUUCGUCGGCCGACAAGUCAGAUCCUUUUUUGAGACUAAAUGACUGCUUUGGGGCCUUAUUUGAGAUAGAUUCCAUUUAAGGUCUUCUUUUGAGAAAAUGGGACCACUUUAGGUCUCUAUUUGAGAUUUUCCCUUUUUAAAAUGAUAAACAACUAAUCGUGGUUCUUUACCCAAAAAAAAAAAAAAAACAACUAAUCGUGGUUGUCAAAAUUUAUAUGUCAACACACCUCUUAGAAAUAAAAGAGCUUAAAUAAAAAUACUUAAUAUUAAUAGCAUGUUGAUACAUUUAUACAAAACUUCUACCCCGGGCACACGUAAUAAAGUCGUAGAUAGUCAAGUGAAAUCUAAUAUGCGAAAUAAUUUGAUUUAAGGACAGCAUCAUUGUAUUAAAGGUCGUAAUGCCAAAUGAAUCAUUACCGCGAGGCAUAGAGCAGGAUUUUCAAAUACUCCAAUGAGUUGUGGUCACCGUGGGUAAUUUUGAAUUUGAUUACAAUGCACUACUUAUAAGUAAAACGAGAAAAGUGGUGCACUGAAAACUGCAUAAUUUUCUUUAUUUUUUUUAACAAGUUCAUAAGAGCACUUUUAAAGAAAGUCCAAUUUGGAUAGGAGAAUUUUCAUUUGGCCCCACCAUUUUAGUCAUUUGCUUGCAGCCAUGCAAAGAAGUGACCAGAUUUGGCCCAUAAAUUAUAAGCAAGUUAAUAAAGACUUAAGCGGAAAGGACAGAGUAACUUCAACCUCAGAUAUUUCCCAGCCCGAGAGUUUCUUAGUAGAUGCACUGUUCCAUGUCGUGAGAUCAGCCUUCAGGACGAGGGACGAGUAGUGUGCAGAAAUCAAUAAUUGAUUGUGCAAUUGGCACGCGCCUACCCUGUAAGAGCAGCCGUGGCCAGGAUCCGGAAGAAACUUGUCGUGGCCAUGAUGGUGUGCUUGACGGAGCUCGAGUGGCCAGCUCAAAGCAGGGAUAGUGGGUGGGUGGAGUCCGUUUUCUUCUCAUUUUUAUUUAUCAUCCUUUUUUUUUUUUAGGGAAAAAGCCACCAAAAACCCUCCCAACUUUGCCUCGAGUGACAGAUUUACCCCGAACUUUGUUUUGUGACGUGAAAAACCCCGAAAUUUACUAACUGUGACACAUUUACCCCAAACUUUUAUUUGUGUGACAUAUUUACCCUAAAUCAUAAGGGAAUUUUGGUAUUUUUACUUUUAAAAACUUUUUUCUUUUUUUUUUUCUUUUUUUUCUUCUUCUUCUUCCUUCCUUCCGCCGGCCAUGGCGGAGCCGGCGUAGGAAGCCGAUUUUUGCGAGGGCCUCCCUACUAAAAUCAGGGGAGGUGCCCCUGGCGAGGGCACCCUCGCCCGACGCCGGCGUCGAGCGAGGGAGGCCCUCGUCCAAUCCAGUCGAGGGCUGCCCUCGCCGGACGCCAACUUCCCUCUGCCAGCCAGCCGGCGGAGGAAAGAGAGAAGAAGAAAAAAAGAAAAAAAAAAAGAAAAAGAAAAAGAAAAAAUAGAAAUAAUAAGACGAAAAUACCCUUAAUGGGGUAAAUGUAUCACAGUUAGCAAACUUCGGGAUUUUUCACGUCACAAAACAAGUUUGGGCUUUUUGGUGGUUUUUUCCCUUUUUUUUAUUCUCUAAAUUUUUAUUAUACAAUUUUUAAUUCUUUUCCAGAUGUGACGCUAGGCAGAGUCAACUUUUGCUUGGAUAGAAGUUUUGUAUAAAUGCAUAGCCAUGCUAUUAAGCCAUGCUAUUAAUAUUAAGUAUUUUGAUUUAAGUUUUUUUUCUUUCUAAGAGGUGGAAUAGAAUUUUAGUUGUCAAAUCAAAUGACUUAAUAAAGAAGUUCAUCAUAUAAAUUUAAUUAGGAUUCAAUUGUACUAUUUAAAAGUAAGUUUUAGGUGAAUUGCAUUUGCUUGAUGAAUUUUAGAAUUUCUGAGGUAGGUAUCCCUUUGUGUAAAGGCAAUGCUCAUCUAUGAAUAUAGUCCAGUGAAAGUCUAUGGUACUUUAACAGAUGAAAGCGGGUGAAGCUUUCAUGACUGGUAGGGAAACUGGAGGCCAUCCCAUCCUAUGGAGGUGAUGAGAGGAGAGGUUUUUAUCAGUAGAGAUAAUACCUGCACCCGCAGAAAUCAUUACACUCUAAUGAAACUAAAACGUCAAAACAUUUAAGCCAAUGACUCAUGAAACAUGACUCUGCAUCUGUCCAAUCUUUUUAUUGCUCAUAAUAGAAAAUCACAGAACUAAAAGUACAGUUCUGUGAAACACCAGACUGGUCAGCAUCUCCAACUUUGAUGAUUGAAGACGACCCUUCAGAGAAAAUCCCACAUAAAACAUCGACCAAAGGACAGAAACAACAACAAAAUACGAUUACCAACUCAUAUAGAAAGGGGUAGAAAAGGUCUAAUGUUAUGGUCCCCCAGCACCAGAUAAUUUUAAACUAGAGCCUGGGCUUCACUGCUGGUUCCUCAUGGCAAGAACCUUGGCCAAAGCCGGCCGGGUCAUGAUGUCGGCCACCCAAGCGCUCACCUUGGGGCGGGCGUCGAACAGCUUCUUCACAUGGGUCCCCAUCAGGUUGGUCAGGACUGGGAGGUGGUGGAGGUCGGCCAGGGUGAAGCAGUCGCAGCCCAAGUACUUGGACUGGCUCAACCGGGCCUCGUAGAUGUCGAGGACCUUGGCGAGCUUGGCCUCGUUCUCCUCGACUACUGCGGCGUCCGUGGCCAUGCCGAACAUCGGCUUAAACAGGAGCUCCCACUGCAGCUUCGACCCCACCGGGUCAAACUGGUGGGCCUCGACCUCCAUCCACACGCCCAAGGUCGCCAUGGGUUUGCCCUCGCACACGAGGGGAGUGCCCUUGUCCUUGUAUACAUUAGCUAUGUAUUGAGUAAUUGCCCUUGAUUCUGCCACCACAAAGAACAAAAUCAAGAUGUAAACCAUGCUUCGCGUAGUUGUUUCUUGUUCAGUUGACGAAUUGAACACUCAAAGAUUGACUAAACACUUGAUCCUUCAUCAUGGUCGCAUGAUCUAUCAGCAAUCGAAUCAGCACCCUUUUGACUAAAUACUUUCAUCUUUCAUGAUGGUCACACAGUAUAAUACACCACGAACAGAAAGACUUAC
rnacentral:lncRNA from 1 species